GUAAGAUAAGAAAAUAUGAUGUUGAUUUAUAUUGUAAUGGAAUUUGAUGACUGUUAAAUAGUUGUGAGGUACAUAUUUGAUUUACAGUGUUCUCUCUUAUAGUUAAGGUAAUUAAUAGUUGUCAUUCUUAUAUUUUAGCUGAGCAUCAAUAUGUAUUUCUGUGAAGCAAGUGAAUUUCUUGUCCUUCAGGCCAUAUUCUGAAGACUGAUAUAACAUGGGAAUUUGCUGGUUGUGGUAUGUCUGUGUCCCCCUGAAUAGAAGUCACCCGCAAUGUGACAAUUGAAACGGAAUGAGCAGGCAAAUUUAGUGGAAUCUAGUGAAGAGUGUUGGUGAAAAUUGAUGUACUCCUGGGUAUGUAAGAGGCACAUAAGUGGUCCUAGUGACAGUGGAAAUGUUACUGCGACAACCUUUCAUCAUUUACAAGGUGAAAACUUGGAGAAUUAGAAGACCUCGAAGGAGACUGCUGCUUGGGUUUCUUUGCAUCGCCUUUAUGUGAACUGUGUUGCCAUGAAACUAAUCUGACAAUGAAUAUGGAAAUUCUUCAGUGAUGUGUUGUGUUGUUGAGAUAUGAAGAAAAUGGAUCCGUUACUGGUGAUGAUACAUAGCACAAGUGUCUUAUGAUAGUGGAAAUGUCACCGCCACAGCAUAAUAUCAUUUUUGAGAUGGGUUCUUCCUUGAAGUGAUACUUGUCUUUCUUCCUCAUCCUGCUUGUAACUUCCUCUUUGAGCCUGCAUGAUUGCCUUCCUACUCUGCCAUGAAUGCGGCCUACAUUAUUCUUCCCUAGAAUGCAUGUGGCGUCCAUUGAACAAUGGAAGUAAAAAUGCUCACUAUUUGGUUUGCAUGAAAUUUUUCACUUAGUAUUGUAAGAUAAGAAAAUGUGAUGUUGUUGAUUUAAAUUGUAAUGGAAUUUGAUGACUGUUAAAUAGUUGUGAGGUACAUAUUUGAUUUACAGUGUUCUCUCUUAUAGUUAAGGUAAUUAAUAGUUGUCAUUUUUAAAUUUACCCGA